GACGAACGCUGGCGGCGUGCUUAACACAUGCCAGUCGAACGGAAAGGCCCUGCUUUUGUGGGGUGCUCGAGUGGCGAACGGGUGAGUAACACGUGAGUAACCUGCCCUUGACUUUGGGAUAACUUCAGGAAACCGGGGCCAAUACCGGAUAGGAGCUCCUGCUGCAUGGUGGGGGUUGGAAAGUUUCGGCGGUUGGGGAUGGACUCGCGGCUUAUCAGCUUGUUGGUGGGGUAGUGGCUUACCAAGGCUUUGACGGGUAGCCGGCCUGAGAGGGUGACCGGCCAGAUUGGUACUGAGAUACCGCCCAGAAUCGUACGAGAGGCAGCAGUGGAGAAUAGUGCACAAUGGGCGGAAGCCUGAUGCAGCAACGCCGCGUGCGGGAUGACGGCCUUCUGGGGGUAAUCCGCUUUCGCCUGUGACGAAGCGAGAGUGACGGUAAUGGGUAAAGAAGCACCGGCUAACUACGUG
rnacentral:rRNA from 1 species